rnacentral:rRNA from 1 species
AGAGUUUGAUCCUGGCUCAGGACGAACGCUGGCGGCAUGCCUAAUACAUGCAAGUCGUACGCACUCUCGUGAUGAUUGAAGCUUGCUUCAUGAUUCACAUUCGAGUGAGUGGCGGACGGGUGAGUAACACGUGGGUAACCUGCCCUAAAGUGGGGGAUAACAUCUGGAAACAGGUGCUAAUACCGCAUAACAACUACUUUCACAUGAUCGUAGUUUGAAAGAUGGCUCUGCUAUCGCUUUUGGAUGGACCCGCGGCGUAUUAGCUAGUUGGUGAGGUAAUAGCUCACCAAGGCAAUGAUACGUAGCCGACCUGAGAGGGUAAUCGGCCACAUUGGGACUGAGACACGGCCCAAACUCCUACGGGAGGCAGCAGUAGGGAAUCUUCCACAAUGGGCGAAAGCCUGAUGGAGCAAUGCCGCGUGAGUGAAGAAGGUUUUCGGAUCGUAAAACUCUGUUGUUGAAGAAGAACAUGCGUGAGAGUAACUGUUCACGUACUGACGGUAUUCAACCAGAAAGCCACGGCUAACUACGUGCCAGCAGCCGCGGUAAUACGUAGGUGGCAAGCGUUGUCCGGAUUUAUUGGGCGUAAAGAGAAUGUAGGCGGUUUAUUAAGUUUGAAGUGAAAGCCCUCGGCUCAACCGAGGAAGUGCUUCGAAAACUGGUAAACUUGAGUGCAGAAGAGGAAAGUGGAACUCCAUGUGUAGCGGUGGAAUGCGUAGAUAUAUGGAAGAACACCAGUGGCGAAGGCGGCUUUCUGGUCUGUAACUGACGCUGAGAUUCGAAAGCAUGGGUAGCAAACAGGAUUAGAUACCCUGGUAGUCCAUGCCGUAAACGAUGAGUGCUAAGUGUUGGAGGGUUUCCGCCCUUCAGUGCUGCAGCUAACGCAUUAAGCACUCCGCCUGGGGAGUACGAUCGCAAGAUUGAAACUCAAAGGAAUUGACGGGGGCCCGCACAAGCGGUGGAGCAUGUGGUUUAAUUCGAAGCAACGCGAAGAACCUUACCAGGUCUUGACAUACCAUGAAAAGCUAAGAGAUUAGUCUUUCCCUUCGGGGACAUGGAUACAGGUGGUGCAUGGUUGUCGUCAGCUCGUGUCGUGAGAUGUUGGGUUAAGUCCCGCAACGAGCGCAACCCUUAUUAUCAGUUGCCAGCAUUCAGUUGGGCACUCUGGUGAGACUGCCGGUGACAAACCGGAGGAAGGUGGGGACGACGUCAAAUCAUCAUGCCCCUUAUGACCUGGGCUACACACGUGCUACAAUGGUCGGUACAACGUGCUGCGAACUCGCGAGGGUAAGCAAAUCACUUAAAACCGAUCUCAGUUCGGAUUGUAGGCUGCAACUCGCCUACAUGAAGCUGGAAUCGCUAGUAAUCGCGGAUCAGCAUGCCGCGGUGAAUACGUUCCCGGGCCUUGUACACACCGCCCGUCACACCAUGAGAGUUUGUAACACCCAAAGUCGGUGGGGUAACCCUUCGGGGAACUAGCCGCCUAAGGUGGGACAAAUGAUUAGGGUGAAGUCGUAACAAGGUAGCCGUAGGAGAACCUGCGGNNN